GACGAACGCUGGCGGCGUGCUUAACACAUGCAAGUCGAACGGAAAGGCCCUGCUUGUGUGGUGUACUCGAGUGGCGAACGGGUGAGUAACACGUGAGUAACCUGCUCUAGACUUUGGGAUAACUUCAGGAAACUGGGGCUAAUACCGGACAGCAGACCCUGUAGCAGGGUGGGGGUUGGAAAGUUUCGGCGGGUGGGGAUGGACGCGCGGCUUAUCAGCUUGUUGGUGGGGGAGUGGCUUACCAAGGCUUUGACGGGUAGCCGGCUUGGGAGGGUGACCGGCCACAUUGGGACUAAGGUACGGCCCAGACUCCAACGGGAGGCAACGGUGGGGAAUAUUGCCCAGUGGGCGGAAGCCUGAUGCGGCAACGCCGCGUGCGGGAUGACGGCCUUCGGGUUGUAAACCGCUUUCGCCUGUGACGAAGCGUGAGUGACGGUAAUGAGUAAAGAAGCACCGGCUAACUACGUG
rnacentral:rRNA from 1 species